UCAUCUUUCAAUAAAGAAAGAAAUCAAGAACUCCCUUCAUACGGAUCUUAAAAAUGGCAUUGCCAAACCAAAUAGCUCCACCUUGAGUGGUGUUCAUCUAUAAUUCUUGAUUCAUCUUCAAUCCUACUGAAAGUCUAAAACCCUAAAAUCCGUAUUCAUGUAUAUGUACAUCAAUAUGUAGGUUUUGAAGAGGGGUUUUCGCAUUCAUGGUCAGCCAAGGGUUAGGAUGAAGAUGCAGUGAGAUGAUGACACAUAUAAAGGGUACUGUUGAAGCAGCAGGGUGUGUGGGGAUUCAUUCAUACAUCCACUUGUACGGUUUUGUUGUAGGUAUCUCCACAACAACAAGUUGACGGGAUCCAUUCCUCCAGAGCUCGGGAACAUGUCAAAGCUCCAUUACUUGGAACUGAACGAUAAUCAGCUCACUGGUCAUAUUCCACCUGAACUCGGAAAGCUUACCGACUUGUUUGACAUUAAUAUUGCGGGAAAUAAACUUGAGGGACACAUACAUGAUAAUCUUAGCUCAUGCACUAAUCUCAACAGCCUCAACGUGCAUGGAAACAAGUUAAAGGGUACGAUCCCUGCUCAACUUCAGAGGCUAGAAAGCAUGACAUACUUGUAAGUACCCCAUUCUCGAUCGCAUUUAUGAUGCUCAAAAACAUGUUUACGAAAUUUAUGUUUUUUAUACGAUUGGGAAUCUUUCGUCAAACAACAUUGUGGGUCCUAUUCCGAUUGAGUUGUCUCGGAUUGGUAACUUGGAUACAUUGGACCUUUCAAACAACAAAAUUAGCAGGCUGAUCCCUUCUUCGCUUUUCAUCGCUUGCGCUUUCAUAUAAGUCAUAGUAAAUACCGUUACAGUUAGUACUCUAUUAAGCUUUUGAUUAUAUGAUAUUGGUAGACCAGUAAGAAAAUAUUAUGUAAAUUUUCUUAACUUAUAAACAAGUAAUAUGUAAUUACAAUAUAUUUUUUGGAACAAUUGGGUGUGUUUUCCUUUAUCCUCCAGGUAGGGGUUGGUUUGGGGAUUGGGGGAGGGUCUGUUUGGCUAUGGUUAUAGUUGGCUGAUGCGUAUCAUGUUCCCGCCAUGUAUCAAUUUAAACUUCUGAUUCAUCAGUGAAUAUAAAAACAUUAAUAUGACCGGGUGAAUCUAAAAGCUACGUGCAGUUAGAUAGAUAGGAGUUAAAGAGAAGAAGUGAUGUACUGAAAUGUAAUUUUGCCAUAUGUAUCAAUUUUAAAGCAACAUGUACAAGGUGCUUAAAGCCAUUGUUCUCCAAAAUUUUAAGACAUUGUAGGGUUAAUCUUGGGAUUUCACAUGGUAUUCUAAAAGAACCCUAAUAAAAGCGUGGAAUAAUUUGACGAUCAAACUGGCGUCUCUUGAUUUCCCCUGAAUUGAAUUGGUGAUUCGUCGCUUCACAGUUUAUCGCUUCACUAAUUAAUGCUUUCAUCGCCAUCUCCUCCUUCCAUUCCAAUUUAAAACUCCUGAUGAUGUUUGAAGCCGAGAAGAAACAAGAAACGGGGACGACGAUGAUGAUGUGCACUCGGUUAUUCUGCACAUGAUUACUGGAAGAAGGUGAGAUUGUUUUGGAUGUGGAGGUUGUUGGUAAACAAGGGGCAGGGGGUGAUGUUGAGAAGUGGAUUGAUGUGAUUCGGAUCAGAUUGUAGAUCGUUUAAUGGAGUCUGUUCUAGGCUCGAGGAUAUGCUGGAUACUUUGUCGACAUUGCUUUCGGAAAAUUCUGUGUUGAAAGUUGGCAUUUGCUGCUAUUCAGUUAGUUAAUUCGGUAUUUUGUCAUGUAACUUGAAUGAUGUUUGUUCAAGUAAUAGCGUAUUGGCAGAGGGAGUACGCGAUGGAAGAUAUACUGACACAACUGAAGAAAGAAAUGUCGGCCCCACACAACCGGAAGUUUGUUCAGCCACCAGAAGGUUGAUGUGUCUGUUUUCAAGCAGCCACAAUGCAAAAGUGAAAUUUCAACUUCAGAAGUGUUCACCAACCUGGAUUCUUCACUGGGGUUGCAUCUAUAAUGGAAACAAUGUUAGUGGUCGCUGGCAGUAGUGUUGGGGCAGUGUCAAGGGGAUUUAGGGGGUGAUGAUUGUGGGAAGUGUGUGAAAAGUGCAGUGCAGAGGGCUGAAGUGGAGUGUGGGGGUUCAACUUCAUCUUCAUCUUCAUCAGAUUCUUCGUAUUCUUCAUCGUCAGAUUCUUCGUAUUAUUCACCAUCUUCUUCUUCAUCAGGAACAGAUUCAAAUACAGGGAAGACAGUGGCAAUUAUCUUGGGAAGGGCAGCAGGAGUUGGAUUUUUAGUAAUAUUUGUAUUAUUUGCUAAAAAUGCAGCAAAGAAACAUGAUGUUGGCAAACCCAGGUUUGUGGUCUGAUGGAGUGUUGGUCUAGAAGUGUUCUGUCUUGGCACUGGACGAGGGAGGCGAGGCUACUAAAUGAUUCACUGACUUCCAAUUAUAGAUGUAGCUUGGUUUGUAAAGAGUACUUGAUGUUCACUUGGUCUCAGUGACGUGUAUAGUGUACAUAUUCAAAGGAAGCUUAAAUAUCAUUGAGUAUCAUUGGUUUAUAGGUGAAACUAGAUGAGAAAUACUCAAUUUGUU
rnacentral:lncRNA from 1 species